GAUGAACGCUAGCUACAGGCUUAACACAUGCAAGUCGCGGGGUAACAUCUGGUAGAGCUUGCUCUUCCAGGAUGACGACCGGCGCACGGGUGAGUAACGCGUAUCCAACCUGGCCCAUACCACGGGAUAGCCCGUCGAAAGGCGGAUUAAUACCGUAUGCUGUCAUUAAGAUGCAUAUAUUGAUGACGAAAGGACUGGCGGUAUGGGAUGGGGAUGCGUCUGAUUAGCUUGUUGGCGGGGUAACGGCCCACCAAGGCGACGAUCAGUAGGGGUUCUGAGAGGAAGGUCCCCCACAUUGGAACUGAGACACGGUCCAAACUCCUACGGGAGGCAGCAGUGAGGAAUAUUGGUCAAUGGGCGCAAGCCUGAACCAGCCAAGUAGCGUGAGGGAAGACUGCCCUACGGGUUGUAAACCUCUUUUGUUUGGGAAUAAAGUGCGGGACGCGUCCCGCAUUGCAUGUACCAUUUGAAUAAGGACCGGCUAAUUCCGUGCCAGCAGCCGCGGUAAUACGGAAGGUCCGGGCGUUAUCCGGAUUUAUUGGGUUUAAAGGGAGCGCAGGCCGUGGGUUAAGCGUGUCGUGAAAUUCCGUCGCUCAACGGCGGACGUGCGGCGCGAACUGGUCCACUUGAGUACGCGGGACGUUGGCGGAAUUCGUGGUGUAGCGGUGAAAUGCUUAGAUAUCACGAAGAACUCCGAUUGCGAAGGCAGCUGACGGUAGCGCAACUGACGCUGAGGCUCGAAAGUGCGGGUAUCGAACAGG
rnacentral:rRNA from 1 species